AUCACUAGUAGGCCAAGGUAUUAAUGCUGACAUGUCUGUUUAAAAUGGAAAAUAUAGCUACUUUGUGGUGUGAGCAGAUUUAUAACUAAUUGUAGCCUGUCAACCCCAUUCUGACUGUAAGCAAUUGGAAGAUAAGAACUUCAAUCAUGAUAAUAAUGAUCUAGUUCAAGAGUAAGGCAGUACUUAAAUCUUAAUAGCGUCCAUACAUGGUACUUUUAUGAUAUGUUCGUGUUUAUUCUGGUGAUGGCCUAAUAUUACCUGAACAUCAUUUGUGCAUUUGAAAAAGUUCAUCCAUUAUACUUACCAAGGACAUAACUUCCAGUCCCUUGUCCUACUUUCUAAUCUAAUUUAUGGUCAGCCAAGUUAUCUAUAUUAUUAAAUGUAGUUUUCGUUUUCACAGGGUGGUUGAUACAUGUCUUCACAUUUUUCAGAGCAACGUGCAGUGGAAGAAGCAGCCUAUGAACUGAAAUAGUUUGCAUAAGAAAUAGGCGAUGUGAGUAUGUUAUCAUUUGAUUUACACAUAAUAUGUACAACCGAUGAAGCUUUUUCCAUAGUUCUCUUGUGGAACCCUGUUCAUUUUUGAUGAAAAUAAAAAUGCCCCAAGACUGAUUUUUCUGUCAUUUAGCUAGUGUAUUGAUCAGAUGAUAUUGAACUAAGAGCGCCAGUACAUGGACUAGCGAUCACACGUUAGAGUAAACCAAAUGGCAAGCGAGGAAAAUGUGUCACACGUAACACUUCAGUGUAUCUGAAAUUGUAGAACCUCUUUGUGAAAUUAUAGCAUCACUAUAUAACUUUUCAUGUCUUGUAUAUAAAACUGAACUCCACAUACUGCAGUUUUAAAAUUAAAAAUAUGAAAUCACAUGAUGUAAUCUGAUGCUCAUAUACAUUGGUUAGUAGUUAGCAUAAAUAUAUCAGUUUGGUGUUAACACUUUGAUGGUCACAAUCUAAAGAUCACAUGGCAUAUACAGAACUUCACAUACUGCAGUUUUUUGGGUCUGAAGCUGUACAUUUUAAUUCUAGUUCAUCAGAUAACAUACAACCACAAUUGUUUUUGACAUUUAUUUUCGAACUUUGAAGUGCACAAAAACGUUGGGGUGAACAUAUGAGAAUUUGACCAUUUAUUUUCACCCAGUACCAUUCAGUUUGAACAUAUGAGAAUUUGGCCCAAAGCCUCAGGAUACCUAUGACAAUUUCCUCCAUAUUAUUAAUAACUUUUAUGAAUCCACUUUGGAAUAAAACAUUUGAUACAUGGAUGUCUUAAUUAGGUGUCAAUGCAAAAAUUUGCACUUAUGUUAGAUAUAACUGAGUAUAUUUUAAUUGGUCUCUUAUCAUCAAGAUCGUGUCGAAUAUUUUCAGGUACUCAGCCACCUACUACACAUGGAUGUGAUGACUUCGGAGUGUUCUGCAGCAUUUGGCUGUUUGCAGUAUUUUGGACCAGCCAACUUGUGGUCAUGAAUCUUAUGUCUGUUUUGGACCAUUUGGUGCUUCAAGUGUUUUGGAGCAUAUAUCUUGUGCUCAUGGGUGUGAUAUAAGUGUUUUGGUUCAUUUAAUGUUAGAACUCUUUUAGAACAGCAAAUAGUGGUCCCUUUAUGUGGCUUGUGUUUUCUCGAUGGUGGUCAAAAUGGCCAAACUUUGCUAUGUAAGGACUGUCUUGUUUUUGAACUUCUGAUCAAUAUAUAUAUGUAUGUUUGUGAACAUAUUAUCAAUGCUUGUGCAAUAUGUGUUCAUCUUGAUCCCGUUUGUGUAUAACAUUUGAGCAUUGCAUAAUAUUUAAGCCAGAGUAGUAUCCAAU
rnacentral:lncRNA from 1 species